rnacentral:lncRNA from 1 species
GUUAUGAGAAACAGACCUUUCAGCUGUUCAGUAAUUUAGGGUAGGGGUGGACAAGGGUUGGCUUGAUUUUGUCCUACGACUACACUCAAUCCUUGGAUGGCUCGGAAGAGUUCGAUAAAUUCAACCCUGGUCGGGUGAUUCGGGGCUUCAAAUUGCUCGAUAUGCUCUACGGAUGAUCUUCCUCGCGUCAUUUCUACAAAAGUAAGGAAGACAUGAGUUGGUGGUUUAAUUUUUAAAAAAGGGACUUAUUCUUCUUAGGCACUCUAAGGGUCUUUCUACCUAAGGCCUCAGUAUAAGGGAUUUGAUCCGCGUAAUUCUGCUCUAAUACCAUCUGU